rnacentral:misc_RNA from 1 species
GAGUUUUGAACAGGUUGUAGCUGGCCUUUCACGAGGCAUGUGCACGCCUGGCUCAUCCACUCUCUUACCUCUGUGCACCCUUUGUAGGAAAAAAAAAGAAAAGGUUACAGACCGCUAGCCGGUUGAAGGCCUCUCUCUCUUUAUCCUAUGUUUUACUACAAACGCUUCAGUAUCAGAAUGUUUAUCUUGCGUAACGCAUUAUAAUACAACUUUCAGCAACGGAUCUCUUGGCUCU